CCGGCUCGAUAAUAUUGAGUCAACAGCAGGCGCCAAUUCAAUGGCGUCCUGACUGCCGCAUGGAGCCCAGAGUGACGUUCUAGCCAGGAGAAGAUUGUUUGGAGAUCCAUCUUUUUU
rnacentral:sRNA from 1 species